AUGUCAAAAAUCUCUUCUUGAGAGAAAAAUCAGAGAAUAUUUUUAGUAGAAUAGAAUAGUAGAGUGAGUAAAUAUACAUUUUUUUGUUACUCAUUUGAUAUUUAUAGGUUUUUUAGGAAAGAGCCGUUACUCCAUUUGUGGGCUUAAUCUUUAGCCAAAUCUUUGGGAUUUCCUUCGUGAAAAUUGUUUAUACUUGAUUGUUGACGUAAUUAUUGCUUGACCUAUGAGAUUUGGGCUCUUGUCUGAUUCUUGGUUGGUCGUUCGGUAAAACCCUUCGUUUGCCUUGUUGGGCAAGCGAAGGUCUUGCUCAAU
rnacentral:misc_RNA from 1 species